UACGGAGGGUGCAAGCGUUAUCCGGAUUCACUGGGUUUAAAGGGAGCGUAGGUGGGCUGGUAAGUCGGUGGUGAAAUCUCCGGGCUUAACCCGGAAACUGCCGUUGAUACUAUCAGUCUUGAAUGUUGUGGAGGUAAGCGGAAUAUGUCAUGUAGCGGUGAAAUGCUUAGAUAUGACAUAGAACACCGAUAGCGAAGGCAGCUUGCUACACAAUGAUUGACACUGAGGCUCGAAAGCGUGGGGAUCAAACAGG
rnacentral:rRNA from 1 species